rnacentral:rRNA from 1 species
GACGAACGCUGGCGGCGUGCUUAACACAUGCAAGUCGAACGGAAAGGCCCUGCUUUUGUGGGGUGCUCGAGUGGCGAACGGGUGGGUAACACGUGAGUAACCUGCCCUUGUCUUUGGGAUAACUUCAGGAAACUGGGGCUAAUACCGGAUAGGAGAUCCUGCUGCAUGGUGGGGGUUGGAAAGUUUCGGCGGUUGGGGAUGGACUCGCGGGUUAUCAGCUUGUUUGUGGGGUAGUGGCUUACCAAGGCUUUGACGGGUAGCCGGCCUGGGAGGGGGACCGGCGACAUGGGUACUACGAGACGCAGCAGACUGGAACGGGCGGCAACGGGGGAGAACAUUGCGCAACGGGGGGAAGCCUGAGGAGGCAACGCCCGGUGCGUAAUGCCGGCCUGCGGGUUGAAAACCGCUUUGGACUGUGACGAAGCGUGAGUGACGGUAACGGGUAAAGAAGCACCGGCUAACUACGUG